rnacentral:rRNA from 1 species
GAUGAACGCUGGCGGCGUGCCUAAUACAUGCAAGUCGAGCGAACAGACGAGGAGCUUGCUCCUUUGACGUUAGCGGCGGACGGGUGAGUAACACGUAGGUAACCUACCUAUAAGACUGGGAUAACUUCGGGAAACCGGAGCUAAUACCGGAUAAUAUUUCGAACCGCAUGGUUCGAUAGUGAAAGAUGGCUUUGCUAUCACUUAUAGAUGGACCUGCGCCGUAUUAGCUAGUUGGUAAGGUAACGGCUUACCAAGGCAACGAUACGUAGCCGACCUGAGAGGUUGAUCGGCCACACUGGAACUGAGACACGGCCCAGACUCCUACGGGAGGCAGCAGUAGGGAAUCUUCCGCAAUGGGCGAAAGCCUGACGGAGCAACGCCGCGUGAGUGAUGAAGGUCUUCGGAUCGUAAAACUCUGUUAUUAGGGAAGAACAAACGUGUAAGUAACUGUGCACGUCUUGACGGUACCUAAUCAGAAAGCCACGGCUAACUACGUG